CCAUUUUUAAUGGCUGUAGAGGUUUUCACAGUAUAGAUGUUGUUAUUUACUUCCUUAUUGAUAGAUAUUUGGAUUUCUUCUGAUUUUUACUGUGUUCUUAUGCUUUUUUCUAAUUUGAUUUUUAGGGGAAGAAUGGGAAGCAAGUUUGUAGUAGUAGUAGGCUUGUAGUAAUAACAUCUAACAUCUGUUGAGCACAACAAGCAUGCAUGGGGGCACUGCGAUCGUUUCUGUUUUUACAGGUGAGGAAAGUGGGGCCUGGGGGAGAUGAAUAAUUUGCCCAGAGUCAUAUAGAUGGUGAUUAGCAGAGCUGAGAGCCUGGCAGUCCGGCUCCAGAGUUCCCAUGUGUCACCACUAUGCAUCGUUGUCUCUCGAAGGGUUCCUUCACAGAAAUGAUCUUCAUGUUUGCUGGAUGGACUUAGUGCCAGAAUGUCUCGGUAUAAUUUCUCCAUGUGAGAAUGGGUGCUUGCUCUCACUCAGGUAUAGCCUUUCUUCUGUGUACCCAGGUCUUUACUCGAGGUAAUCCUACUUGGACUCUUUUCCCGCCACCCCCUUCCUCUCUGUAUUUCUCUGCUUCUUAGUUACUCAGCUGAAAAACUGUGAUCUUUUGGGAAACCUUACCUACACAACCCACAGUGCACUCUCUACGAUCUCCUAGCAUCUCACCUUCCCUCACUAGCCUGGUCCCGGUGGAUGCCCAGUGGUGAGUGGUCACAGGAUGGAGCUGAGCCUGUGAACAUUUGUUCAUGUCCCAACUCAUUUUUUGUACCAUUCAUUUUGUCUUCUAUAUCUUUCAGGUUUUCCCACUGUACUGUCAGACUCUUAAAGAUAGUGCUUAUACCUAAUCUUAAAAAUCACAUACAAGAGUAAUUUUCCAUAUAAUACACGUUCAUCUUUUUUAACAUGUCAAAAACUCAAAGCAUGGGCAGAAUAAACUAUUUCUCAGACUUGCAAAUGGCCAAAAAAGAAGUUGCAGUGACUGGAUUGGAAGCUUUGUAUCUCUUGGCUCAGCAGCUGGACCCUUCCUAAGUGUGGGCUAGGUCUAGCCAGCUUUGUGCAGAGGGUUACACUGUUGCCAUGGACUUGAGAACUAUUUCUAUGCUUUCCUGGUUAGUGUAUGGUUUGAUAGUACCCGUCUGUGGCUUCCUCCUGAUGAUACAGUCUGUCUUCUCUCAGGUGCUUUUUAACCUACCAAUCCUGCCAGAGUUUGAUAUACAGGAGGUGUUUGCUCCACGACAGCAUCGCCCGCCAUCCAGCUCCCGACGAUCCUGACUGGAUUAAGAGGUUACUGCAAAGCCCCUGCCCUUUCUGCGAUUCUCCUGUCUUCUGAACGUCAGUGGUGGGGAGCUAGAAAGGGCACAUGCUCUGUUGCGGAAAUGCCCUCUGGCCUGAAGACGUGGGAUGCGCUGGCUAAGCCUGGCCUUCGAGUGGGAAGGCCCUCUUCAGGAGUGUAAAUAGGGCCCUGGGAACUCAUUUCUGAAGUACAGUCUCCAUCUCCAGGGACUAAAGGAGAUCUUUAAAACGACUGAGUGCAGAGACUGUAAGUCAUUCUGAGAGGAACACGAGCCCCCCACUCCUUACCCAGUGAGGAACACUUAUUUUUCAAGUGUUCUGACUGAAGCAACUUGAACAAAAAGAAUGCCCUAUCAUUUCUGGGAACAGAAUGAUCUCUUCUAGAGAGUUGGGCUAAGGGCCUUGCUGGACCAAGUUAGGCUUUAAUGCUUGCCUUGAUCUGGAAUUGCCUUGUGGCUCCCCAGAGUGUAAAUCACCUGUCACUGGUGUUCGGUGUGCCCCCAGACAUUCCGAGUGUCUAAAACAGCGCUUGGUCCUGAUACUUGGUUCUCCACAGAUAGCCCCAGAUCUGUAUCCCACGGAUUCUUGUUUCUCCUGCGUACUGAAAACAUGUUCAUAAAACUGUAUUUUCAAGAGGUUGAGGCCAAGACUAAAGUUGGUUUUAAUGUGUCAAAAAAUCAGGUGAUUCUUGUAAGUAAAUAACUGUGACUUAUUUUUGAUGAGCUCCCACAUUAUCAGAUUUCCAGUCCUAACUCCUUAAUAUGUCCAGGAUGUCGGGGGUUCCCAUUCACCCAUGUCACCUCCCUGCUUCCGACUGUCAUAGCCCAGAUGAGAUAUUUGUACAUAGAAGAAAAAGACUAUUUUCUCCCUAAAACUUUCAGUGUUUUUAAUGUUGACAUGUCCAGACAUUUCAUUUGUAUCCCCUCUCCUCUAUAAGAAUGUGCAGUCCAUCUAGAGACUUCCAGAAAACUUCCAGAAAGCGAUGGGCAGCCCAAGCAUGGAGGUGCUUAUGGUCCGCUGCCCCAGGUGUGUGUGGCUCCAUUGACGAGAGCCUGGGAAUUUCUUCUCAGCAAGGGUCCUUGAUGUUUUAUAAUACAGGUAUUUUCCUGUGGGCUUUUAAGAGGAGAUAUUAGGCAUUAAUUGGUCUUAAAAUCUGAAAUUAAAGAUGGACAUUCGGAUAUUACAGUGUUCUUGGAUUGCGAAAAUAGCGUCCUAGGGAUUGGUGCUAAUCAACAGGCCUGUGCUGCACGCAUGUGGAAAUGGUGCAUACUUCUGGGAAGGAGGAUGGCGAGUAUAAAAUGUGAAAUUCCCACUCCUGUUACAUGCUGUCUGUUUUGCCUUUAUUCCAACAUUUAUUCCUGCCUUUGUUGUGAUUCCUCAGUGAAAGACGUUUGUCCUUGCCAUGUGGACAGGACACUCCCGGACACGACCACAGGCCGCUGUGUCCGCGGGGUCGCAGGCACUGACUGGCACUGAGAGCCCUUCAGGCCUCCGAACAGCCUGCCUGACAUGUCUUCUGUUUCCUAUUCAAAUCAUGUGUUGUCUUCUGGGUUUAAUUCUGUAUUUGUUGGAGUCUUCUGCUUAUCUUUCUCAUCUCGGUCAUUUUGAGAACAGUGUUGACCCAGAUUCUAGGGCCCAGCACGUUAAAUUGGUUUUCAAGAAAGAGGGGCAGGCGGCAUUAGAAUCAUGAGAAGCACAGCUCCGAGGCUGUAUGGUUGCACUUGCUCGCGUCACAGGAACCACGACGGUAAACGUGGAGAUCAUGUCAAGGAAUUAUGACAGUGUCCUAAUCAUGGGAUGCUUAGUGUCACUUAUUCUUUGUUCCUCAUCAGGGUCAGUGUUUGAGUUGUUCUUAUUGGGGAAUUCUGUGCUGCUGCCAUUUAAAACUUACAUUAAGUUCUUACUUAGAGCAGUUGUACAUUUUUGGGGAACUUUACCUCGUGGCAGUUAACUAAAAGGGUCUCCCGAAUUAUUUUGUAUGUCUCUGUAGGAAUAAACAUGGCAACUGUUUUUCUAGAACAUGGCUUCUCUCUGCAUGGGGCUAGGCAUUCUUCAGACUCUGAAAUCCACCCAACAGCUCAGCCUGAGUUUCUGUGCCCGGAGUGGGGAGACCUCCCCCUUCUCCCGCCCGCUCCCCUCGUGCAUGGCAGCAUCGUACACACAGCCGGCUUCUGAUUUUACUAAGGGUCCGUGCACCUGAUGAUGGAGUGCCAGUCAGUGGGACUUUGGGAAAGCAGGGGUGACACCCGGAAUCUUCCAGCUCACUGCCUCUCCUGGCUUAAACUUGUCAUGCCCUCCACGCUUCCUAAAAUGUGCCUGAUCUGUUUCGUGGAUUUCAAGUUUAUCUCCGCUGUCACUGUAAGAACGGUUUCAGAAGCGGCAGAAAUGGUAGAGGCCAAGUUGCCGCGCUGCCUGGGAGUCGGGAGCAAAGACUGUAAGCAAUUAGACCUUUUCAGCUACAACACGGUUGCAUUCGGGGACUCUGAUAUCCACACCUGUAUCACGCUUUCUCUGCCUGGGGUUAAUUUGUCCCCAUUACUCCAGAUAAGAAAUUGAUAGCUUGUUAUGCUUGAUAUUCAUUCUGAAAUCCUCAUGUGUCCACCACCCAGACUUCAAGCAGUCUCUACCUACUAUUACAUCUGCCAAAACUACCAAUUAUUUUUCAGUGUCAGGAGUUAUUAGAACCACUGGCGAAGCUUGUGGUUGAGUGUGACAUCUUUCUGCUUCUCUCUAAGAAGGUUUUGGGGAUGUUAAUGUGGAAGCAUGUGGGUUGGACCUAUUCGCAAGUGUCACAGGUUAAUUAGGUGAAAGGAACGUUAAAGGGUAAUAAGUAUAAAAAUAUUUUCUGUUGUAAUUACAACGCUAUCAGCUAAGAAGCAGAAGUUGGUGCUUAUUGGUGCUUGUUAAGAGGAACACAGUGCUGGUUUUAUGAAAUACCUGCCCCCCUGGCAGCUAAAGACAAACUGCUUCAGAGUUUGGUGAAUUACCGCAGCUCCUGGAAUGAAACCAAGAUUACCAUCCCAGGCCCUGUUCAGCCUGCUCGCUCCUGACCCCUCUACUCUCUCUUGCUUUUCCUUCCUGGUGAGGUCCUCUUGAUUUCCCUUCCUCUUCUUUUCUCAGCUUCAGGACAUGUCCAGAGCUAGCAGAUUUCAUGUUUGAAAGAACAGUAGAUCAGUGAUAAAAUUUCUAAAAAUUACAUCACACAGUAGGUUUCCCUUCCUAAAAGAGACGAUAGCACACAGUGAUUUUUCUCUCUGACGGUAAGAGUGUUGGUUGUUAACUUGGUAAAUUAUAUCCAGUUUUCUUCAAAACUCUUAAUUUCCCUGGCAGAGUGCUCAGUAACUCUUGGCUGGCCUUUGGGGCCAGAGUCUGCUAAAUUGGAGCUCCUCGCCACUACCCGCCGCCCUCCCCAAGCCAACAACGUCCCUGACAAGCAAAACUGCUGGUUAAGUCAGCCGGCCUGUUUUUUAAGGGAAAGGUAGAUCCUGCCCUUUUUCUUUUUAGAGACGGGGCAGCAAAAACAGCCAAUAGCCAGAGGAAUCAAUGAACGUCCUCAGCCCACCAUGGACUGUGGUGGGCCUCCGUGUGGCUCCUCGUAGUAACGGGUCCCGAAUAUACUGUGAGGCUCAGACGCUUCCUUCCUGUGUGGGUGGAGUUGAACAGUUCAGGACGACUACAGGGUGUCUGGAGAAUCGAACCUUUCCCCUCCAGGUUGUCCGUUUUAAAAAUGCCUCUAAGAUAUCUAACUGAAUCGUUUUCAUUUUCAUUAUUAGCGCAAGUAUCGGCAGCUUCAAGCAGAGUAAGCUGUGUCUCAGAUCUCAUAGUUAGUAAACUUGGAACUGCCCUUUCUGGAAGCUGAAAACGGUUCUUGGAGUUAAGAUCUUCACGUCUAUUUAAAAUGAUUACAGAGCAGGUGAAAUCUGACUCUCCUUAAGUUGAAUUAGGUCCAAUUUGCAGAAUCUAGAGUUGCUUCUAAUGAUCUAAAGUACUGUAGCAUCACUAUCCUGAUGAAAAAGCAGGGUUUUUCAGAAGACGGGGAGCUCGUUUCCAAGGCGCUGAUAAAAAUCAGUAUCAGGACUUGAAGCCAGGCCGAGUCUGGUAGACGGGAUGCAGCCUCCCAUCUGCAUGUGUCCUUUGUUUUAGAACAGGGCUGUUUCUGAAAACUUGCCGGGGACACCAAUCAGUUUAAUGGGGGAAUGACUAUAAAAACAUCCUAUAAAGAAGUUAGUCCUUUUGGUGUAGGACUCCCCCAACCUCUUCAUCUGAUUAGGUGGUUCAGCUUUUCUUAUCUUGCAUUUUUUGAGUUAUAAUUAUACUUGGGGGGGGGGGGUCUUAAUAUAGCCUGAGGUCCUAGUCAGCUUAUUCAGAGCAAUAUUAUAUGAAUUUCCAACUUGGGGGUGCCAUUCAUUCCAGGCGUGGCAGGAAUUGAAAAAAAGGAAAGAUGAUGCUCUCCUGCCAGCAUAAAGGUGUAGGCUGUCCAGGUGAAAUGUUGUCAGUGGGUUGGGGAAGAUUUAAAUUGCAGAACUCUAAAUCUUGUUGAUCUUUGCAGUCAAAAUUUGCUCACCUCACCGUCAUGAACUCCUGUUACUUGCAUAGAAAGACCCUGUCAGGUGGUCGGACUGGACCACAUAAGAGGUGGUGACGGCUUGAGCACUUCCUACUUUAUCCGUUUCACAUUUGCCGAACAGGCUGGUGGGGGUUAGGGCGGUUUGGUUUUGGUACGAAUGCAAAAUGAAAAGCAAAAAUGGAUUAUUAGGUCUUUUUCAAGACUUUGACUCAGAUUUGUACUUUAUGAAAGGAACAUGAAUAUCAAACCUGUUUAUACAGAAAUAAGACUGUAUAGAAAACAAAGUAUGUUGUGUAUAGUGAUAUUUUAUGUUUACCCAAUGCCUGUGCUAAUCUUUGUGCUCAGCUUUGAAUUAUAUGUAUGUUUACAUAGGACAUUUUUUUAAAUAAAAAGAACGGGCGUCUAAAAGCUUAAGGUAUAGAAAGGAGAUAGUUUCUUAAUUCUUACCAUCUGAUUAGGUGGUGUGUUUUAGACUUUUGGUGUUUAAAUAAAACUUUUAAGAAUAAGAAUACCUUUUCCUUGGAAUACCCCGCUUCCAGUAAAGUGGGCUGCUUCUCUGCACUGUAUAUAUGUACAUAGUGUUCAUUAUUAGAUUGUAAGCUCCUCGAGGGCAGGAACUGUCUGCUUCAUCUUGGUAGCUCCUGCAGCACCUAAUGUAAAGUGCCUUGCAGAGAGUAGGUGCUCCCGAUUCAUAGAAUGAGUAACUUCCUGCCACCUUUAAGAUGGAGCAUGGCUCCCUUCUUCCAGCACAUUCAAAACCACAAAGACUAAGGACCUGCCCGAGGAGGGCCCGAUUCCUUCUUGGGUUUGAACGGAGUGUCCUGGGUUGAACCGGACCAUGCCAUGUCCUUAGCACUAUCUAGCCUUCUUUCCCUGAAGAUCCUUCACCAGUGUCCUGAGCUUUUAUUUAAUACUUAGGACAAAGGUUGCUGGAAAACGUUCGAAGUGGAAAUUAUAGAAAAAAUGAAAUGGAGAUUUUGGAGGGGGUGCGUGUGUCCAUACACGGCCCCGUGGGGAAUCUUACUUGAGUUACCACUAAAGAAAAAGGUAACGGGUACUCAGUUUCUUUACCAGUUAGCUGGUUGGCCAGUUUUCCAGUUAAUGGAAGAUCCCUGGUCUUUCACUUUUCCCCAUUUUGGAUACCCCUCCAUGGCUCGUAUGGUUCUAGUGCUCAGAGUCCAGUCAGGUUGCGGGGGUGGCUAGUGCCGCGCACAUGGCAUCAUGUUCUGUAAGCGUGGGGUCACCUCGAAUGUGUCGUGUUUGUAUGCAGAGCCACUGGUAGCCUCUUGGUCACUUUCUUAUUCAAAAUAAAUAAAUAACAGAAUUAUUUGUA